rnacentral:rRNA from 1 species
CCUACGGGUGGCAGCAGUGAGGAAUAUUGGACACUGGACGAGAGUCUGAACCAGCCAAGUAGCGUGAAGGAUGACUGCCCUAUGGGUUGUAAACUUCUUUUAUAUGGGAAUAAAAUGUUCCACGUGUGGGAUUUUGUAUGUACCAUAUGAAUACGGAUCGGCUAACUCCGUGCCAGCAGCCGCGUUAAGACGGAGGAUCCGAGCGUUAUCCGGAUUUCUUGGGUUUAAUGGGAGCGUAGGUGGAUUGUUAAGUCAGUUGUGAAAGUUUGCGGCUCAACCGUAAAAUUGCAGUUGAUACUGGCAGUCUUGAGUACAGUAGAGGGGGGCGGAAAUCGUGGUGUAGCGGUGAAAUGCUUAGAUAUCACGAAGAACUCCGAUGGCGAAGGCAGGUCACUGGACUGCAACUGACACUGAGGCUCGAAAGUGUGGGUAUCAAACAGGAUGAGAUACCCCAGUAGUC